rnacentral:rRNA from 1 species
UACGUAGGGUGCGAGCGUUAAUCGGAAUUACUGGGCGUAAAGCGUGCGCAGGCGGUUCGUUGUGUCGGCGGUGAAAGCCCCGGGCUUAACCUGGGAAUGGCCGUCGAAACUGGCGAACUGGAGUGUGGCAGAGGGGGGUGGAAUUCCGCGUGUAGCAGUGAAAUGCGUAGAGAUCGGGAGGAACACCUGUGGCGAAGGCGGCCCCCUGGGCCGGCCCUGACACUGAGACGCGAAGGCGUGGGGAGCGAACGGG